rnacentral:lncRNA from 1 species
GAGUUUCACUUAUUAGGAUUACACAAUUAAUUAUAUUCCGAACCACUAAAAUACUAAAAAAUACUACAAUACUUCCUCCCAAUAACAAUACUCCUCCAUCAACUGAUAACCACAGUAUGCAACCCUGCAUUCUCAAAUAACCACUCAAAACUCAAUAAAUUCCAUCCAAUAUCAAAAAUAACAAACUUCACUCAAACCAAUCUGAAUUCACAGAAUUCCUAUAAUCACAGACUUUCUCUAUCGAAACACACACACACAACUCUCAAUAAACAACAAUCAUAAUCUUCCAUCCGUAAUAAAUCUUUCAAUAACUUCUCAUUGUGGUUAUUGUUUUACUUAUUCCGGAAGAAACCUCCCAGAAUAAA